rnacentral:rRNA from 1 species
UACGUAGGGUGCGAGCGUUAAUCGGAAUUACUGGGCGUAAAGCGUGCGCAGGCGGUUCGUUAAGUUCGAUGUGAAAGCCCCGGGCUCAACCUGGGAGGUGCAUUGGAAACUGGCGAGCUUGAGUGUGGCAGAGGGGGGUGGAAUUCCGCGUGUAGCAGUGAAAUGCGUAGAGAUGCGGAGGAACACCGAUGGCGAAGGCAGCCCCCUGGGCCAACACUGACGCUCAGGCACGAAAGCGUGGGGAGCAAACAGG